UACGAAGGGGACUAGCGUUGUUCGGAAUCACUGGGCGUAAAGCGCACGUAGGCGGAUCUUUAAGUCAGGGGUGAAAUCCUGGAGCUCAACUCCAGAACUGCCUUUGAUACUGGGGAUCUCGAGUCCGGGAGAGGUGAGUGGAACUGCGAGUGUAGAGGUGAAAUUCGUAGAUAUUCGCAAGAACACCAGUGGCGAAGGCGGCUCACUGGCCCGGUACUGACGCUGAGGUGCGAAAGCGUGGGGAGCAAACAGG
rnacentral:rRNA from 1 species